rnacentral:rRNA from 1 species
GAUGAACGCUGGCGGCGUGCCUAAUACAUGCAAGUCGAGCGAACGGACGAGAAGCUUGCUUCUCUGAUGUUAGCGGCGGACGGGUGAGUAACACGUGGAUAACCUACCUAUAAGACUGGGAUAACUUCGGGAAACCGUAGCUAAUACCGGAUAAUAUUUUGAACCGCAUGGUUCAAAAGUGAAAGACGGUCUUGCUGUCACUUAUCGAUGGAUCCGCGCUGCAUUAGCUAGUUGUUAAGUUAACGGCUUACCAAGGCAACGAUGCAUAACCGACCUGCGAGGGUGAUAGGCCACCCUGGAACUGGAACACGGUCCAGACUCCUACGGGAGGCAGCAGUAGGGAAUCUUCCGCAAUGGGCGAAAGCAUGACGGAGCAACGCCGCGUGAGUGAUGAAGGUCUUCGGAUCGUAAAACUCUGUUAUUAGGGAAGAACAUAUGUGUAAGUAAAUGUGCACAUCUUGACGGUACCUAAUCAGAAAGCCACGGCUAACUACGUG